rnacentral:piRNA from 1 species
UGCCCACACCGACAUGGCACCGAGAA